rnacentral:lncRNA from 1 species
CCAUCCCCAUCAUCCUACGCCUCAUGGCACUGGAUCUAGAUUAUGAUAUAUAAUCAACUUCUUAAAGAAUAAUUUAAAAAUUAAAUUAUAUAUUAUGUUUAUUCUAGUCUAAUUCUAGAAUCUUUUUAUGCAAAAAGUCAUGCCCCAUGGACAUAAAUUGGAAUGGUAGGAAGAGGGGGAACUGGCUAUAUGAACGGCUAGAGACCGGUGUGGAGAG